AUGUAACUAGGAAAUGAUAGAUGACCAACACAACGGAACAUAUGCAUAGGCUUUAACUAAACCUUCUAUGUUCUAAACAUCUCUAACUAAACUUGGAACGCAAAAUAACUAAACUACAUAGACAGUUAGCUAGAUCAGAAGCGGAAGAAAUAACUUAAUAAUUCUUUGGCGCCCAACAUGGGAUGACUACCACUCCCCCAUACUCUUUAUUUUAAGCUAACCCCAUUUUUAAUUCAUCACUUUCAUCAAGCAACCACACAACCAGCAGUUAUAAAGUGAUUACAAAGAGUUAUAACGUGACGAAUGACGACACGCUCCCGUGGUGCAAGUCACGUGUCAUUGGGAAUUGUCCUGCGAGGACUUUGUUUCAAUUACCCUUUUGUUUCAUCCGAAGGGAAGUUAUAAGUUUAACGCGUGUAUGUCUGUAGCAAGGUAACUCCGAGAGUAUUAUAUUGUCGGUAGGUGCAAAACUCUCUGUUGUGAUCGUCGUCAUCGGAUCACCAUGAGAAGGACAUCAUUAUAAAUUCCCCUCUCGCUUCGAGAUCCUUCGUAUCCACUUUAAAAACUCUAAACGCUUAUUUUUUUCCGCAAAUCCAAUCGGCGACCAACCAAUUAGGAUGGAUUGAAUAAGUUUAAAAUUAGAAUCGGAGUGAAAACAUGUGACAAUAGGGUCGCCAGCCCAUUGACGCAGGUGCCAUGUGAUCAUGUCACCCUCCCUUUGUAUAGAGGCGUCGCAUCGUAAAUGUCGUAAUACUUAUUCAUCCCUACGACAAAGGGUUGCAAAUUAUUAUUUACUCCAUACGUCAUACGACUGUUUGCCUUCAUUAUUGAUGUCCGCAAUAAUUUAGGUUUACACUGACAGUGGUUUGUUACUUGUAUGUUUUAUAAUAUUACUUAUAACAAAAAAAUACAGUUGCGCAGUGAUACCAGAGUUGGUCACAUAAUUGAAGUUUAUUAGUGUGUGUCGGGGAGAUUGACCUGUCUCCGGACAAAGUCCACUUUGAAUACAAUUAAAGUAGUCUCGAAAUAUUACCGGUAGUUACGCUAACAAUAGAAAAAUCGAUUAUUGUUAUCCAAAUUAAACUCAAACUAAAACAAAGAAAAAAGUUCCUUUUGUUAAUAUACUGAAGUAGGGUAGCCUGGGUACGGUUAAAACAGGGUACGGUUGAAACAACUCUAAUAAUUCCUAAACUAUGGGCGGUACGACGAGGGGUCCAAGGGGAGAGGGACGCGGCUUGCGAGUCCAGACAUGAAUCACAGUGCUUCGUCGCAUUUCGCGCGCCGUGCACGUGUGUAGGUGGCCUCAUUGUAUUUUUUUCGACAAAAAUGCCGAGAGUACGUGUAAGGAAGACUUUGAGGGCGCAGAUCGACUUGUUGCAGUACAAAAACGCUUAUGAAGAGGUAAAAGCAGGAUAUUCAUUGCGGACAGCUGCGGAGAAUUUUUGUUUGGUUAAUUUUAAUUGAAAAGUGUCAUUAGUUCUGUUGCUUUUGUUAACUACGUUUUUUUUUGUAUUAUUUAGUUUUAAUAUUGUCACUGAGAACGUUAGGUUAAGGCUGAUUAAAGUUAUCGUUAAGUUUAUUAAAACAUUGAAGACUGUGAUUAAAGUUAUCGUUAAGUUUAUUAAAACAUUGAAGACUGAUGUUAAAAUGCUAUAAUUAUUAAGAAUUACAAUAAAUGAUGAUUAAAACUUGUUCAAAUGUA